AGACAGUCUCACACAGACAGUCUCACACAGACAGUCUCACACAGACAGUCUCACACAGACAGUCUCACACAGACAGUCACACACUCACACAGACAGUCACACACAGACAGUCACACACUCACAUAGACAGUCACACACAGACAGUCACACACUCACACAGACAGUCUCACACAGACAGUCACACACUCACACAGACAGUCACACAGUCUCACACAGUCUCACACAGUCACACAGUCUCACACAGACAGUCACACAGUCUCACACAGACAGUCUCACACAGACAGUCACACAGUCUCACACAAACAGUCACACACUCACACAGAC